UAAGCUGUAUACUCGUGAUUGGUGGGUGUACAGCCAAGAAAAGUUAAAAACAAACAAACAAAAAAAGCCAUGAUGACCAAGGCUUGGGAAAUGCUUUAGCCAGCGUGCCUGGGAAGGCCAGCCUUGCUGAGAAGGUGGUGUUUGAGAUGAAGCAUAGCGAUAAUGAGAAGCCAGUUCUGUGAGUCUGGCAAUCCCUUCCAAGCCAACUUGGUCCUCUGAGGCAGAGACAAUCUUGUGUUUGAAUGGCAGCAGGAAGUGGGGUGGUGUGGCCUCAUGAAGCCAGAAACUGGUAGGAAGUGAAGGUGAACAGAUAGGUGGGGGCCUGAUGGAGAGAUCUUACAGAUGAUGGAAGGAGCAGUGCCCUGCCUUCUUCCCCAUCCCUGCAACUAGGUAGGAAUCUCUUGUCUGCCAUUCUGUGAUGCAGGCUGGUGGCUUAAGAUGCCUCUCUCAUUCUGAGGCACCUGGUGAUCCACUCUGUAGAGGUCUCCAGAGUUCUAGAGAUCCUUCUGGGCAGGAUUUAAGACAUCCCGG
rnacentral:lncRNA from 1 species